CGGAUUUACACACAUAUUACACCCUAAGAAACCAAAAAGAACUCACCUGAGUACCAGCCAUAUCAAUCAUGUUCCCAUCUGCCAGCAUAUUAUCCACAACCUUUUCACUGUCAAAAACAAUAAACCCAAAGCCCCGAGAACGCUUAGUAG